GACGAACGCUGGCGGCGUGCUUAACACAUGCAAGUCGAACGGAAAGGCCCUGCUUUUGUGGGGUGCUCGAGUGGCGAACGGGUGAGUAACACGUGAGUAACCUGCCCUUGACUUUGGGAUAACUUCAGGAAACUGGGGCUAAUACCGGAUAGGAGCUCCUGCUGCAUGGUGGUGGUUGGAAAGUUUCGGCGGUUGGGGAUGGACUCGCGGCUUAUCAGCUUGUUGGUGGGGUAGUGGCUUACCAAGGCUUUGACGGGUAGCCGGCCUGAGAGGGUGACCGGCCACAUUGGGACUGAGAUACGGCCCAGACUCCUACGGGAGGCAGCAGUGGGGAAUAUUGCACAAUGGGCGGAAGCCUGAUGCAGCAACGCCGCGUGCGGGAUGACGGCCUUCGGGUUGUAAACCGCUUUCGCCUGUGACGAAGCGUGAGUGACGGUAAUGGGUAAAGAAGCACCGGCUAACUACGUG
rnacentral:rRNA from 1 species